GAAAUGCGAUAAGUAGUGUGAAUUGCAGAAUUCAGUGAAUCAUCGAAUCUUUGAACGCACAUUGCGCCCCUCGGUAUUCCGUGGGGCAUGCCUGUUCGAGCGUCAUUUCAACCCUCAGAACCCCUUGCGGGAUCUGGCGUUGGGGAUUGGCAUCCAGCCAGCCCCGAAAUCUAGUGGCGGUCCCUCCGCGACCUCCCCUGUGCAGUAGCGAUACCUCGCAGCGGGACAGCGGUCUGACCACGCCGUAAAACCCCCAACUUCUCAAGGUUGACCUCGAAUCAGGUAGGAAUACCCGCUGAACUUAAGC
rnacentral:misc_RNA from 1 species